rnacentral:rRNA from 1 species
GAUGAACGCUGGCGGCGUGCCUAAUACAUGCAAGUCGAGCGAACGGACGAGAAGCUUGCUUCUCUGAUGUUAGCGGCGGACGGGUGAGUAACACGUGGAUAACCUACCUAUAAGACUGGGAUAACUUCGGGAAACCGGAGCUAAUACCGGAUAAUAUUUUGAACCGCAUGGUUCAAAAGUGAAAGACGGUCUUGCUGUCACUUAUAGAUGGAUCCGCGCUGCAUUAGCUAGUUGGUAAGGUAACGGCUUACCAAGGCAACGAUGCAUAGCCGACCUGAGAGGGUGAUCGGCCACACUGGAACUGAGACACGGUCCAGACUCCUACGGGAGGCAGCAGUAGGGAAUCUUCCGCAAUGGGCGAAAGCCUGACGGAGCAACGCCGCGUGAGUGAUGAAGGUCUUCGGAUCGUAAAACUCUGUUAUUAGGGAAGAACAUAUGUGUAAGUAACUGUGCACAUCUUGACGGUACCUAAUCAGAAAGCCACGGCUAACUACGUGCCAGCAGCCGCGGUAAUACGUAGGUGGCAAGCGUUAUCCGGAAUUAUUGGGCGUAAAGCGCGCGUAGGCGGUUUUUUAAGUCUGAUGUGAAAGCCCACGGCUCAACCGUGGAGGGUCAUUGGAAACUGGAAAACUUGAGUGCAGAAGAGGAAAGUGGAAUUCCAUGUGUAGCGGUGAAAUGCGCAGAGAUAUGGAGGAGCACCAGUGGCGAAGGCGACUUCCUGGUCUGUAACUGACGCUGAUGUGCGAAAGCGUGGGGAUCAAACAGGAUUAGAUACCCUGGUAGUCCACGCCGUAAACGAUGAGUGCUAAGUGUUAGGGGGUUUCCGCCCCUUAGUGCUGCAGCUAACGCAUUAAGCACUCCGCCUGGGGAGUACGACCGCAAGGUUGAAACUCAAAGGAAUUGACGGGGACCCGCACAAGCGGUGGAGCAUGUGGUUUAAUUCGAAGCAACGCGAAGAACCUUACCAAAUCUUGACAUCCUUUGACAACUCUAGAGAUAGAGCCUUCCCCUUCGGGGGACAAAGUGACAGGUGGUGCAUGGUUGUCGUCAGCUCGUGUCGUGAGAUGUUGGGUUAAGUCCCGCAACGAGCGCAACCCUUAAGCUUAGUUGCCAUCAUUAAGUUGGGCACUCUAAGUUGACUGCCGGUGACAAACCGGAGGAAGGUGGGGAUGACGUCAAAUCAUCAUGCCCCUUAUGAUUUGGGCUACACACGUGCUACAAUGGACAAUACAAAGGGCAGCGAAACCGCGAGGUCAAGCAAAUCCCAUAAAGUUGUUCUCAGUUCGGAUUGUAGUCUGCAACUCGACUACAUGAAGCUGGAAUCGCUAGUAAUCGUAGAUCAGCAUGCUACGGUGAAUACGUUCCCGGGUCU